rnacentral:rRNA from 1 species
UACGAAGGGGGCGAGCGUUGUUCGGAAUUACUGGGCGUAAAGGGCGCGUAGGCGGCCGAGCAAGUUAGAUGUGAAAGUCCUGGGCUUAACCUGGGGACUGCAUUUGAUACUGCUUGGCUUGAAUUCGGGAGAGGAUAGCGGAAUUCCCAGUGUAGAGGUGAAAUUCGUAGAUAUUGGGAAGAACACCGGUGGCGAAGGCGGCAUCCUGGACCGACACUGACACUGAGGAGCGAAAGCCAGGGGAGCAAACGGG